CAUGCAAGUCGAGCGAAGCACUUUGCUUAGAUUCUUCGGAUGAAGAGGAUUGUGACUGAGCGGCGGACGGGUGAGUAACGCGUGGGUAACCUGCCUCAUACAGGGGGAUAACAGUUAGAAAUGACUGCUAAUACCGCAUAAGACCACAGUACCGCACGGUGCGGGGGUAAAAACUCCGGUGGUAUGAGAUGGACCCGCGUCUGAUUAGCUAGUUGGUAAGGUAACGGCUUACCAAGGCGACGAUCAGUAGCCGACCUGAGAGGGUGACCGGCCACAUUGGGACUGAGACACGGCCCAAACUCCUACGGGAGGCAGCAGUGGGGAAUAUUGCACAAUGGGGGAAACCCUGAUGCAGCGACGCCGCGUGAGCGAAGAAGUAUUUCGGUAUGUAAAGCUCUAUCAGCAGGGAAGAAAAUGACGGUACCUGACUAAGAAGCACCGGCUAAAUACGUGCCAGCAGCCGCGGUAAUACGUAUGGUGCAAGCGUUAUCCGGAUUUACUGGGUGUAAAGGGAGCGUAGACGGAUGGGCAAGUCUGAUGUGAAAACCCGGGGCUCAACCCCGGGACUGCAUUGGAAACUGUUAAUCUAGAGUGCUGGAGAGGUAAGUGGAAUUCCUAGUGUAGCGGUGAAAUGCGUAGAUAUUAGGAGGAACACCAGUGGCGAAGGCGGCUUACUGGACAGUAACUGACGUUGAGGCUCGAAAGCGUGGGGAGCAAACAGGAUUAGAUACCCUGGUAGUCCACGCCGUAAACGAUGACUACUAGGUGUCGGGUGGCAAAGCCAUUCGGUGCCGCAGCAAACGCAAUAAGUAGUCCACCUGGGGAGUACGUUCGCA
rnacentral:rRNA from 1 species